rnacentral:misc_RNA from 1 species
UUUCCGUAGGUGAACCUGCGGAAGGAUCAUUAUCGAAUUUUUGAUUAUGUUGUUGGUGUCCUUUCGCCUUGUGCACGCUUCAUUCAUUCCUUCACCCCCCUUGUUCACCUUUUGGUACGGUCGAUGACUCUGCUGUUUUGAUACCAACACUUCAGAUACAUAAUGUUUAUCGUGUGAAACGCAUUUUUAUAAAACUUUCCACCACGGAAUUCUUGGCUCUCGCAUCGAUGAAAAACGCCGCAGAUCCGAAGAGCACACCUCUGCACUCCAAUCACAUCC